GAUGAACGCUAGCGGCAGGCCUAACACAUGCAAGUCGAGGGGUAGCAGGAUUAAGCUUGCUUAAUUGCUGACGACCGGCGCACGGGUGCGUAACGCGUAUGCAACCUACCUUAUACUGGGGUAUAGCCCGGAGAAAUUCGGAUUAAUCCCCCAUAGUACUAAUGAAUCGCAUGGUUUAUUAGUUAAAGCAUUGCGGUAUAAGAUGGGCAUGCGUCCUAUUAGCUAGAUGGUGAGGUAACGGCUCACCAUAGCUACGAUAGGUAGGGGGCCUGAGAGGGUGGUCCCCCACACUGGUACUGAGACACGGACCAGACUCCCACGGGAGGCAGCAGUGAGGAAUAUUGGUCAAUGGGCGCAAGCCUGAACCAGCCAUGCCGCGUGCAGGAAGAAUGCCCUAUGGGUUGUAAACUGCCUUUAUUUGGGAAUAAACCUCUUUACGUGUAGAGAGCUGAAGGUACCAAAUGAAUAAGCACCGGCUAACUCCGUGCCAGCAGCCGCGGUAA
rnacentral:rRNA from 1 species